UAGUGCUUUAGGUACGAGAAGGGAGGUUCCAAAUACUUGACCAGUGCUUGGCUCGUGAGUACCGCAUGUCCCUACAAGGAAUAUCUAAGCAAAUUUCUCAUGACUUUUGUGAGGGGGUUCGGGCACGAGUGGUGGACAAGGACUUAG